GCCCGGGUGGUGGAAUUGGUAGACACACUACUUUGAGGGGGUAGCGGUCGAAAGGCUGUGCAAGUUCGAAUCUUGUCCCGGGCA
rnacentral:tRNA from 1 species